UGGUGGAGUGAUUUGUCUGGUUAAUUCCGUUAACGAGCGAGACCAAACUUACUAACUAGACGCGUUAACCGUCUAAUACGCUGUGCAGGUCAGACGGCAGAGGAGCCUAACGGCUCCGCUCUGGCUGGCUGAAUCAGUUGAUGCGUUGGCGACGUCUUCUUAGAAGGACUGGCGACUUCAAGUCGCAGGAAGUUUUUGGCAAUAACA
rnacentral:rRNA from 1 species